rnacentral:sRNA from 1 species
GAUAUCAGGGUCAAAAGGUCAAAAAGUCGUUCGUGCUUGCACGAUAAGACUUUUGAACUUAGGACCCGCCAAACAUGAGAAAGUAGCGAUUUACGCAGUAAAUCAGCGGAUUUCGAAUGUUUGAGAAUUGCGGGAGCUGCUUUGCAGCGGAGCAAUUCGUGGAUAUC